CACGUAGGGGGCGAGCGUUGUCCGGAUUUAUUGGGCGUAAAGAGCUCGUAGGCGGCUCGGUAAGUGAGGUGUGAAAACUCCAGGCUCAACCUGGAGACGCCACCUCAUACUGCCGUGGCUAGAGUCCGGUAGGGGAGCAUGGAAUUCCUGGCGUAGCGGUGAAAUGCGCAGAUAUCAGGAGGAACACCAGUGGCGAAGGCGAGUCCCUGGACAACACCUGACACUGAGGCACGAAAGCUAGGGGAGCAAACAGG
rnacentral:rRNA from 1 species